UAGGAGGGUACGGAUUCCAUGGGUUUGGUUACCUUCUGGUAGAGAUGAAUAAAUCUGGCAUUUACCCAAACUCUGUUACUUUUACUUAGUGCUAUCGGCUUGUAGUCAUUCAUGUCUAGUGGAUAAGGGGCUUGAAGUCUUCCACAGAAUGAAGACUGACUUUGGCUUUAACCCUGAAAUGUAACUUUUUCUUAUGUUGUUGAUUUACAAGCAUGUGCCAGUCGACUUGAGGAUGCUGUUGGUUUUGUAAGGAAAAUGCCCCUAGAGCCUGAUAAGUCUAUCUUGGUUUUUGUUCUUUCUGCUUCUCUUAAGCUCAACAAGACAUAAAUAUUACUUUGCUAGGUUCAGAACAUUUCCUCCAUCUUGAACCUGAAUAUAUUGGACAUUACGUGACUUUGGCCAAUAUAUACACCAUGGCAGGAAGAUGGGAUGAUGCUAUACAAGUGAGAAAGCUAAUGGAGAGUAGAGGAUUGGUCAAAGCUAACGAGGUGAUGAUGUCAACAUUUAUUUUAUUUUUUUGUUAAGUGCAAGGUGUUAUUAAGCUCAACCAAACAAACAAAGUCCAGGGAUAAAACCCCAUACAACAAAGCAACAGAAAAAGCAGCAAUUAGUCUGGCAAAAGAAACUGUCAAACACCCUAAAUACACAUGUUUCAGAAUCCUUUCAGCCAAGCCCCAACUACCACAGAGGGCCUUAUUCUUCAAGGAGUGAUUCAAAUUUCUCCCAGAGCUGAGAAAUUCCCUGAUUUCAGUGGCAAUUCUGAUGAACUCCUUAUCAUGCUCAGCAGCUUUCACUUGGAAAAUUUGACCAUUCCUCUCCCUUCACUAGCCAUACAGUGCAGCUGCCAAGGUACACUUGAGACUAAUUCUCCUAAGGCCUUUACCUUUCACAUGAAUAAUAAACCACUCUAGAGCAUCCCCUCUUGUACUAGGCAUUCCCCACACCAUAUUCCUGACCAUCAAGUCCUGCCACGCAGCUAACGAGAAGCGACAUUAAAAAAAAGAUGUUGGUAUGGUUCUCCCCCAAUUCUGCUGGAACAACAAUUGCGAUCUAACUCUAUACCGCAGCUUCUCAACCUGUCUUUGGUAUAUAAUCUGUGAUGAACAGCGAACCAGAGGACAAAAAACCAUCUAGGCACAUUAUUUCCUCCCCAAAUUGUGCCAGGCCUGAAUGAGAUACCUUUUCCUGACGGCAUGCCAAGCAGAUUGGGCUGUGAAAUUACCUCUGGGAUGAGGUUGAGGCAACCAAACUACAGAAUCAUCCCUUUCAGGCAUAGGCAUCAGGCUUGGCAGAGUUUGAGCAAUUAUAGCUUGGACGGCUUGGUUUCUCAAUCUCGGUCAACACCAAAUGCCAUGGUCAAUAAUUGAUGCAACUUUGGCCCUUAGAGGCCUGCCCAAAUUAGUCACUACCCUUUCCCCAAAAGUUUACAUACUGUAUAGCCUGUAUAUUGAUGGCAAACUCAUUAGGAGUACGUUGCUGCACAACAAAGCAACUGAGGAGAUGAAAGUCUAGGAGCGACGUAUUUGAAGAUGAAUCUCGACUUUGAAAUUUGUGGAUGAGUUGUUGAAGGCAGCACUGAUUAACAAGUUCUAAUAGGAUGUUAAGUGACAGAAGUUCAAGCUCACUAGAUUACGCGACUCGAACAUAGAUUGACCAGGCAAUGGGGAUGAUUUGUCUCCUGACGGCAGAGGACAGCAACCACCGUUUGGACUCCUGGGCAUGAACUUCAAGAAGUUGCUUGACCUUGUGGAGAAGAGUUGCCACCAAAUCCACAAGGAAACUGCGGUUCACAAGGUUGCCUUGAAAGUUUGAAAACUCUGAUGGCACCAAUCGCCAAUACCCUCGUGCACUCUUCACACCUUUUCUAUUGGCUCAUACGCAUAGUAGUAAAUUGUAGCUUGCAAAAUAAAUUUCUUGCUUUUGACAGAUUGUAAGAAGAUUUUGUUGAGAUUGUGUCAUCCCUUUACCAUUGGCACAAACAAACUGUAGUAAAUUUUAGCUCGCAAAAUAGAUUUUGUUGCUUGUGACAGAUUGGAAGAAGGUUUUAUUGCGAUUGACCUGCAUUUUACUUGUUUUCAGGUGGCUAUAUGUUCUGCUGCGCUUUGAGGACUUCCGGCAUAAACAGGAUUUGGUCUUGUCCUCAGUGUCAAUUCUUCACAGGAAAAUGGAAAUACAAGGGUUGGGCAAUGGCUAGACAGAUUGAUCUACUUCUCAGAAUGAAGUGUUAAAAGUUAGCAAGAAACUUGGUCAUUGGUUUGUGGACUGAGACUCGUCCAGUUCCGAUGGUGGUUUAAGCUAGUGGACUUGGCAGGAAGA